rnacentral:rRNA from 1 species
UACAGGGGGGGCAAGCGUUGUUCGGAAUUACUGGGCGUAAAGGGUUCGUAGGUGGCCAACUAAGUCAGACGUGAAAUCCCUCAGCUUAACUGGGGAACUGCGUCUGAUACUGGAUGGCUUGAGUGCAGGAGAGGAAUGCGGAAUUCCAGGUGUAGCGGUGAAAUGCGUAGAUAUCUGGAGGAACACCGGUGGCGAAGGCGGCAUGCUGGACUGAAACUGACACUGAGGAACGAAAGCCAGGGGAGCAAACGGG